GCUAGCAUAACAUUGCACUCUGCCACCACGUCGCCAUUGGCUCUCGGUUAACCGUUAAAUUUAGGGGCAUUAUGGUAAAUUUGUUGGCCAAACUUCUCAACCACUCAUCCUCUCCUCCCUCCUCUUAUCCCCUUCACACCCUGCCACCCCUAUUUCUUCCACCGGACGACCCACACCUCCACACACACUAUACCACCGCCACCGUCGACGACCACUUGAUCACCACCACAGUCGCACCACCGCCUCCUUGACUCCUCCAUCGUAUCCCUUUUACACCUACAUUACAGUACCUACACACACUACAGCAUGGUUCUUGAAGUUCGAUUCACGGUGACUACUCCAGCAUUCCAUGGGGGAUUCGGAGACUUCUACACAAUCACCGUCGUCUCAUCACCACCGUCUCAUCACCAUCUACAAUCGUCUCCUACCUUCACCAAAACUAGGUCUUGGGUUAAUUAUCUUUUGGGUUAUGUAUAAUCAUCUAACUUAUAUAACUUUUUUAUAUGUCUAGCUUAUCUAACUUUUGUAAAAACUAAAUGCUUAUGGAUUGGGUAACUUUUAUGGUAA